CUUCGCCUGAAAAAGACGGAAAAGAAACUCGCCGAUGCGAAAACGGAACUUGCUACGUAUGCACGUGAGAUUAAUUUAUCAGACGCUGAUUUGGAUGCCUCAGUUGUGUCAUGGAAAAGAGAUGUUCAGCAGUUUGCUACUGGGAGUGAAAUGUUACAGAGGCGCUUCGGGAAAACUUCACCACAGUUUGAACAACGCUUACAAGCAUUGCCCACCUCAGCUGAACAACUC